GCCGGGCGCAGUGGCGUGCGCCUGUAAUCCAAGUUGCUGGGAGGCUUAGGCUGGCGGAUCGUUUGAGCUCAGGAGUUCUGAGCUCCAGUGGACUAUGCCGAUCGGGUGUCCGCACUAAGUUCGGUAUCGAUAUGGUGCUCCUGGGGGAGCCCUGGACCACCAGGUCGUCUAAGGAGGGGUGCACCGGCCCAGGUCGGAAACGGAGCAGGCCAAAGCCCCCGUGCCGCUCAGUAGUGGGAUCGCGCCUGUGAAUAGACGCUGUAGUGCAGCCUGAGCAAUACAGCGGGACCCAGUCUUUU
ensembl:misc_RNA Metazoa_SRP Metazoan signal recognition particle RNA